ACUUCUCUACAGCUGCACUUCUAUACAGCGGCACUUCUCCGCCGUCUACAACGACACUUCUCCACCAUCUGCAACAGCGGCACGUCUCCUCACAACUCUGUAAACUUCAGCUACUCACCAGAUUCAAAAUGGGAUAGGUGUUCUAGGGUCCGACCCCUCUCCAAUAUUUGGAACUGGAAUUAACGGGAGAGCUUCUAGAUCUUCAGGGAUAAAGAAAGUUGAGGAAAUGUGCAAUAGAAAUGCUGAAAGUUGAAAGAAACAAAUCAUUCCACACACAAGUGGAUCCAAAGCUAACUCUAGAAGAAGGGCUGAAAUGAUGGCUGAGACCGGUCAAGUGCCUGGACGAGUAGAACUUUAUCUUGCUACUCAUAAGAAUGUAAAUGAAGCGUAUGUUAAUGAAGCGACAAAAGUUGUCUGUGAAAAAAAUCAGCAAACUUUGAGUCAAAGCACUAUGGAUGAGUCUAUAAUAUCGCCAGAUGGUGCAGUUGGCAAACUGCUAGGAAAAGAGCACUCUGGAAGGGUAAGGUGUUUGUGAUUAGGAGUUGCUCCCACUAGAGUUUUUAAACAAGCAAGACCUCGAUUCAGUGGUAUGAAUGCUUCGAGUGUUUCGUGUCCAUCCAAUUGCCAACAGAAUUACAAUAAAUUGUUGAAUUCUCACAAUCAAAUGAUGGCUGCUUUCAAGUCAUAUAUGAUAAUGAAAGAAGGGACAUUACCAGAACAAUUUGUGGGGUUAUUUGCUCCUCCUCCUACAAUGACAGGUGAUGCCAGUGAUAGUAGUCGUAGUGACAAUCGUUGAAGUUCCAUGAAUAGUUGCAGGUCAUUUCUUGAGUAUGGAUGCUAGUGAACCCUUUUCAUCAAUAAAAGCAAGAUUAGCGAAUGACAGUUUUUGUAGUGAUUUAAAGUUUCUUGUAAUCGUAAUGGUUGAAGUGAAUGAUAUGUUUCAAUUUAGUUUGUAAAACUAAUACUACACUUUAUGAUAUAUUUUUUUGUUGAAA